rnacentral:rRNA from 1 species
AGAGUUUGAUCCUGGCUCAGAUUGAACGCUGGCGGCAGGCUUAACACAUGCAAGUCGAGCGGGGAAGGGUAGCUUGCUACCUGACCUAGCGGCGGACGGGUGAGUAAUGCUUAGGAAUCUGCCUAUUAGUGGGGGACAACAUUCCGAAAGGAAUGCUAAUACCGCAUACGCCCUACGGGGGAAAGCAGGGGAUCUUCGGACCUUGCGCUAAUAGAUGAGCCUAAGUCAGAUUAGCUAGUUGGUGGGGUAAAGGCCUACCAAGGCGACGAUCUGUAGCGGGUCUGAGAGGAUGAUCCGCCACACUGGGACUGAGACACGGCCCAGACUCCUACGGGAGGCAGCAGUGGGGAAUAUUGGACAAUGGGCGAAAGCCUGAUCCAGCCAUGCCGCGUGUGUGAAGAAGGCCUUUUGGUUGUAAAGCACUUUAAGCGAGGAGGAGGCUACUUGGAUUAAUACUCUAGGAUAGUGGACGUUACUCGCAGAAUAAGCACCGGCUAACUCUGUGCCAGCAGCCGCGGUAAUACAGAGGGUGCGAGCGUUAAUCGGAUUUACUGGGCGUAAAGCGUGCGUAGGCGGCUUCUUAAGUCGGAUGUGAAAUCCCUGAGCUUAACUUAGGAAUUGCAUUCGAUACUGGGAGGCUAGAGUAUGGGAGAGGAUGGUAGAAUUCCAGGUGUAGCGGUGAAAUGCGUAGAGAUCUGGAGGAAUACCGAUGGCGAAGGCAGCCAUCUGACCCUAUACUGACGCUGAGG